UGUUAGACAUUUGGUAAAAAGUUUUUCCACAGAACAUAAAUUGAAAUUCGAUUGGUACAAGAACAUUUCAAAUUAGUCAAUUUAAUGUGUCACUUGUUUGUAGCAGAAGCUCAGUGCUGUAAGCACUUGUUUAGAUGCAGGCAGUAAAACUUUUGCGGAUGCCGCGCCAAGAACAAUUAUAAAUCUAAUCCAAUGUAAGACCUUUUAUAUGUGCACACAGUAAAACGUUAUCGAGAGGAAUAAAGAGAUUGCGAUGGAUAAAAGAGAAAGAUAGACAGAGGAAGACCUGUUGGCUAACUAGUUUAAGCACUUUCGUGGAUCGCAGCAUCAAAAGGUUGACAAUUUUUGCUUUAAUAGAGAAAGCAUUGAAAUCAAGUUUAAGCGAAUAUUUCUGCAGUAGAGGGAUUUAAAAUUGACAGCUCUCGACUGAGUUAAUGCUAUAGAGCAAUCUCGUAUUUAUUUGAUGACACAUCCCUAAUUUUAUUCAUAGUAGUAAUUCAGGAAAUGAAACCUUUACGAAAAACGUUUACAAAAUAAAAUUAUUUGAAAAUGUAAUGCCCUCGUGAGUUGAACUCAACACCAAAAUGCUGGAGCAUAAAUAAUAAAUCCUAUUCAUGAUAUAUAGUUCACUUCAUAAAAUUAAACUAAAGUGCCUCCGGCUUUCUGGCAACUAUCAUUAUAUUUUACGCAAUAAAUUCAUAUCAUAUAUACAAAUGAAAACCACAUUUGCUGAAAUAGAAAUUGAUCAGCACAUCGAAUGGCAUAUUGGCCACAAUUUUCAUAUGUUAUAAAUAAAUACAUUUAUAUUCCAAUUAGCUGGCAACUUUACAUGGACCGAAAGCAAAUGUAAUCUGUACAGUUUACACAUUGUAAAUAGAAUUUUGCAAAAUGUUAUAAUAAUUUUACGAAUCUAAUUGGGAAGCUAUUUGCGUGGCGCACUGUUGGGCAGGGGCCAGAUUGCUGAUAAGCCGUUUACAUUUUAAAACUGAUUAAAUUAACUCCGGCCGAAACAACAAAGCCAACAAUCGGAACAACGACAUUAACAACAACUACAAGAAGAAAAACAUAAGCAGCUUUUAGAACUGCCGAAGUAGCAUUAAAAAGUGUUAGAAGUUGGAAAGCGUAGAAGGCGAUGGGUAAGUUAAGAGCCGGUAGUCGGAGGAGUGCAUAUGCUUUGCACUGCACAGGAUGGAAACUGGAACAGGGGCAAGAAGAAGCACUGCAAGGACUACACUACUAUAAAAUUAAGAUUAAAAGCUUGCAAUGUGUGCGAGCUGUUCUAUCUGGCCCCGUUUAUUAGUAUCUCUCGGUCUCUCUCUCUCUCUCUCUUUCUCUUCUUAUCGCAAACAUUCUCUCUCUCUGUCUGGCUGUUUAUUUGCUGGUGUGUGUAUUUAAGAUGUAGGAAAACAAACAAGCUGAAGCUGAAGCUGAAAAGCGUUUUCUUUGCCCUCGUGCCAGAUUAGUUGCCCGACCGCCACAAAGGACUAGGAAAUUAAAAAAUUUCUCUAAUACACAAUGCACAGCACCAGCGUUAAGUGAAACAAAGCAGCGUUUUAAUUUACCAAGCAUUGCACAUUAAAAAAACAACAACAAUAGCAACAACUACAAAACAGAAGCAUCCACACAAGCUGACAGCCAAAUAGAGCAACAUGGCGCAUGGCAGCUGAGAGAUGAAGGAAAAACAUAUAUAUAUACAAAUAUAUGUAUAUAUAUAUAUUAAAGGCCAACAGCACGAUUCGUUGCCGGAAUAUGUCAAAGGCCAGCGAGAGAUAUCAGCUACUUUGCAAUUUUCGUGCUUUAUCAGCGUGACCAAAAAAUGUUGUUUGACAUUCACAAUUUUUGUGCCGCAGCAAAAACAAUUUGCAUUGAUUUACGGCAAUCAGCACACAAUAAAAUAUUGUGAUUCCCUUAAGAAACAAUUAAGAAGCUACUACAAUAGCAAUUAAAUAUGUAAAGAUUUUUCUGAAAAGAAAAAAAAAAACAAAAGAAAUGCAACUACAAUGCAAUGUAAAUGUUGUCAGAUUGGAAAAUUGUUUGUAAGGAAAAUGUCUAACUGUAUUUUAAUGAUAUGGCAACAGUAAACAAGGCAAUCAGAUAUUCGGCAAAUUUAAAAUUUACACACUUAUACUUGAUAAUUUGGUAUACGUGUUUGGCUGACGGAUUUAAUUCAAUAUUCAGAAUUUUGGUUUUAGUAUUCAUAUGCCAUUAAAAAUGUAUAAUUAAAAUAACAAACUUCCAUUAAUUGAAGUAUUUCAAAUUUAUAUGAAACAACUCUAGCGCAAUAAUGCUCUAUAUUUUAAAUGAAAGCAAAAA